AAAAACAUUUUUAUUAACUUAAUUAAUAGUAAAAUCUGCUCAAUGAAACUUAAAUAGCCGCAAUACGUGCUAAGGUAGUAUAAUAAUUUGUCUUUUAAUUAAAGACCAAACAAAUGAUUUAACAUUUAAAUUUAUUUUCACAUUCUAAUAUUCCAAAUUAUUUUGGCCAUUAUAAAAUAACCAUACAAAAAAAAGACAACAAGACCCUAUUGAACUUAACUUAAGUUAAACUGGGGUAGUUAAUUAAAAAAUAUUUUAAUUUUAUUAAACUCUAAUACGACCUAAUAAAAUUAACUUAAAAAUUAAGUUACCAUAGGGAUAACAGCGUAAUAAUUUUUAAAAGCUCUUAUUAAAAAAAUAGAUUGCGACCUCGAUGUUGAAUUAAUACUCUAAUUUUUGAAAAAAAAAAUAAAGAAAGUCUGUUCGACUUUUAAAAAAUUACAUGA
rnacentral:rRNA from 1 species